UCUAUGAAUAUGUUUUGUCAUCACUUGUUCCAUGUUCCUGUGCUACUCCUAUUAAUGUUGUACAUAGUUUAAAAAGCCCUAGCAUCUCUAUGUUUCUGCCAUAUGUUUCAUGCUUUUAUAAUUAUCUCAUGUCUGGCCUUGAUUUGGAUCUUGAUGUCAUGCUGGCAUCAAUUGCUGGUCUACUUGUCGUUUCUUCCCUCAUUGAACAAAGCAUACUAAAGAGUACAGUAAAAUUAACAGAAGAUAAGUACCCUUGUUUCUGUUCAUGCAUUUGCAUGUGUAAAUGGUUUUCUAGUGUUAAGGACUUAAAGCUGCACAUAAUUAGUUUGACUUGGAGAUGUUUCCUUUGUUCCUUUUCAGUGCUAAAAAAUGAGUUGAUUGUAGAAGCAUUAGCUUUGGUUAUUCACAUGUAAGCCGAUUAGUGGGUCAAGGUGUAAUUUGAUUUAAGUUCCAUAUUGGAAACUAAUUAGUUGGUUAUCAACAACAACAUUGUGAUUCUUGGAGUCAUUUAGGGCAUUGGAUUUUUGUAUCAUGAAAAUGAGACCUUAGCUUACGAUGCCUCCUUUUUUAGCUACUAAUGUUUUAUCCCUCUUUUUGAACUUUUAGUGGUUUUGAUAGAAGAACUUAACCCAAACCAUUUGUGAAAGUUUCAAUCAAUUGAAGUCUCAACUUUAUGGGAACUCAUCACCCUUAAACUAACCUUUUGUAUAGAAGAACCUACUUUGAUGAGAGAAUUGGUGAAGUUCGAUUUUUUAACCAGCCAAGUUUUACAGUCAUCCAUCUCUUUAGGGAGUAUAGUUCCUUUCUCCUGGUGAUAUACCAUUUGAUGUCAAGAACUUUUGUAAAAGAGAAACUUUUCAGUUUUGCUUAAAAACAUUUUGAAAGUGUUUUCUCACACAAUGAUGUGCCUUGCUUUAUUUUUAGUACCUUUACAAGUGGAAGGUGGAAUUCAAGUUUUUGUUGUCCAUCAAUGGAAGAGGAAAAUUGAAAAGAUCAUGGACAUGAGUAGUGAAGAAAAAUCCUAUGAAGUUGAGAAAGUCAAGAUUAGGAAAUGCUAUUGACUCUGGCGAUCAAGUGUCUGCAAGGAUUUAGCAGGAAAAUAUCUUGAGGGAGAAGCCAAAAUGCUCUGUAAGAUCUUGGCAGGUAGUAAAAUGAGAGUUGAGAGAUGGGCUCGAGGCUUGUGUAGUCGUUCCUCUGAAUCAAUAAUCGAGAGUACCGGGUAGGCAUAAAGGUGAUUUAUGUCUACUUCGCGAAGAUAAUGACUUACGAACUUUUGUCUCGUUGAAAACCCGUAAGGUGAAGCGGGUUUGACAUGUGACAAAACUACACAUAACCACUAAAGCAGUGGGACUUCGUAGUAGCCUUUGGGGUGGUGAGGUAUUCCCUCAAAGGUGAAGGUCGGCCUAAAAAAAAUUAUCAAAAACAAGAAAAAAAAAUCAAAAGGCAAAAAGCCAAAUGCAAAAGAAAAAAAAUGAAGAUAAAACAAGAAAAAAAAAAGCAAAAGGUACCUGCCAAGAGAUAAAUGACAUGAAGGCUGAACUCGCAAGAAUUGAAUGUGACAAUCUUUCAUGGAUGUACGAUUUUGGGGUCAAUAACUGCUCCUUUUUUUUAUUAUCUAGGAUGCCGAGGAUGAUUCCUUUAUGUUCAUAUUCUGGAAGUUGAAAGACAUUCCCUCUAGAGAUUUGACAACAUUGAUGCGAGAUAAAACCUAAUGCUUGUAUGGUACUAUAGGUAAAUUAAGGUUAUAUUAUUUGCACAACACGAGCACUCAAGCUUAUGAGUUGAAUUGAUCAUUUUUGAACUAUUUCAAAAUUCAAAAUAAAAACUUGACGUCUCUUGUAUGUUUUCAGGCUUCCUAGGCAUAGGAGGAACUAACCAAUCCCUCUUUGGUCUUGAAAAUGUUUGCCCAUUUCAUUACCGAAUUGCUAGUCCUUCCAUGAAAUAGAUGAAACCCCUCGAACCUAGUCGAACCUAGUCCAACCAUGCUGAGUGUGAUGAAUUAUCUAUCAUUUCCUUUUGUCUUCGGAGAGGUAAACCAUUUGGGACAAGUGAUUAAAGCUAAGUCAUUAGUCUGAUGCAUAACCCAAACUUAGGUUAUUUCUUUUCAAGCACUAGGUGAUAUUUUUGAAAAGUUCUAUCGAAGUUGCAUACUUGUAUGUCCUUGGCUUCACCUAAUCUUGUUUUUCGAGUUGUAUAAAUUUCAUUUGUUUCAUCUUUAUUUUUAGUUUCAUUGUAGCUGUAGUUAAUAUCUUUUAUGUAGUAUAGUUUUGUCAUAAAAGGAUCAGCCGAGGCCUCUAAUUUCUGGCUCCACCUAUUUCCUUAUCCAUCCAUUUUUACGUCAUCAAUGAAGGGCUUGAAUUUUUUUUUAUUCCUCUAGCACUUGGGUGGUCCCUUUAUUUUAAUUUAUAUGUGAUUGGACAUGAUCCUAAAUUGUGUGCUGGUUGUCUUUUAUUUCCAAGAGGCCUCUACUUAGUGGAGGCUUGGUUUCUCAUUUUGCAUUUGAGAGUGACUACAUAAAUUUUGUAUGAGGUGAAUGGUUCCAACCUGGUGUAUUUAGAUGAUGCAGCUACAUCUCAAAAGCCAUAUGCUGUUUUGGAUGUUCUCCGUGAUUAUGUGAGGGCUACAGCUCGAAUGUUCACCCCGAUAUUCAUUACUUAAGGUCACUGAGUCAUCCAUUACCCUCUGACAACCAUGACAGGUCAACCACUACUAUGGCCAUCCAUCUAGAAUCUGCCAUAUAGCAUCUGAUGGAACAGACCCACACGCAAUGGUGCGUUCCUGUUCCUGUUAACUCAGUGCAAAAGCCACCGAUGCUUAUGAUUUGGCAAGGAAGAAAAUAUCAGUUUCCAUUAAUGGUUCAAAACCUAAAGAAAUUGUAUUCACAAUAAAUGCCAUGGAGGCCAUCAAUCUGGUAGCAUAUUCUUUGGGAACUUGCCAACCUAAAAGCUGGAGAUGACGUCAUGCCUCGUUCCUUACGUUCACUUGCAAAUUCUUCUGUUGAUACAUGCAAUAACUUGAAUUGUAGAUGCCAACCACUUGGGGAGUGGUAGGAAGAGGUAAAUUUACAAACCGUCUGAAUCAAGU